rnacentral:rRNA from 1 species
CCCUUAGAUGUUCUGGGCUGCACGCGUGCUACACUGAUAUUGCCAAUAUGUCAUUCUUAUCCGAAAUGGAUUGGGUAGUCAAGUAAUGAAAUUUCAUGCUUGGAAUCGGUAAUUGCAAUUUUAUCGUGAACGAGGAAUUCCUAGUAAGCACUAGUCAUCAGCUAAUGUUGAUUAUGUCCCUGCCCUUUGUACACACCGCCCGUCGCUACUACUGAUUGGGUGUUCAAGUGAGAUGCUUAGACCCUUGUUGCAUGGUUCAUUAUUGUGCUCCGAAAGGAAAAAGUUUCAAGCUUGAGUGUCUAGAGGAAGUAAAAGUCGUAACG